AGGGAUGGAGGAGUUAUUAAGAGGGGUGAGGGGGAUGGAAGCAAUAGGAUGGAGUAUGAGCAGGAGCAGAACUAAGGUUCACGUGGAGAUGGAGACAUCUCUGAGGUGAGGGGAGCUGUAGCAGGAGAGCAAUCAAGUAAUAGCGUGCAGAUGCUCUGCACAGGUUAAGCUAGUUUAACUUAACAGUUCUCACAUAUGUCUUUCCCACUCCCCACUUUUGUCUUUAAAAAGUCCAACGUUCAACUGAUCCAAACUGCUUUGGGAAGAAGGAAAGUAAAACAACUGUCCAACUUGGACUCCUGGCUUGAUUCAGCUCUUCUGUUUUCAAGCACUUUACUUGCUGCUUUCCAUGAAGGCCCACAAGACAAACUCAAGAAUUACAGCCCUGUGGUUAAAUAAUGCAUACACAUAACAACAGCCAAACAAAAACACCCCUUAUUAUUAAAUAUACAUCUGCUCACCUAAGCAAGGGGUUAGGGCUGGUUCGACUUCUGUCUUAUGCAUUAGACAGACAUCCAUCCUCUCUCUCAGGGUCUACUCACAGCAGAGUAGCUUCCUGACCACACCUACCAGUCAGCCUGAACCAAGUACUACACUCUGCAGCGGUGUGUGUGUGUGUUAUACAGCCACAAUAUAUUGCAUUUAUAUUGCACCUUUCUUCCAUAGUGGAACUCAAGGUUGUGUUCUGGGGUUCCCAGGAGGCCUCCUGGCCAGGGACUAACCACGAGGCCAAUGACUGUUUUUUGAGUCCUUAGACUGAGCUCUGGGACAAGCUAAGGAACGACCAUUUGACUGUUUUGCUCCAUUCCAGAAGAACAAGGGUUCUCCCCUUUUAGCCUACAGGAAGGAAUAACAUAGCAAGUGGAAUGUGCUGGAAAUGUGGCAGUCCAGUGACGUGGCUGGAAAUUGGUGUGCAGCUGACGAGGGGGAGCAGUUCAACAUGUAAACUAUUUAUAGUUUAUUUGGGUUUCCAUUUAAAAGUCAAGUCUCUACAGGAAAAGAUAUCCCUCAGGAGAAUUGCUAUGGAAAUAUGCAUCAUGGGUCAUCACCGCCCCAACUGUUGUGGAGCAAAACUGAAGUCCAGCUUGCUUCAGCAUUUGGAGGAGGAAGAAGGGUAAAGAACAGAUGGAAGAGGAAUCGGCACCUUUCCCCACAACAUAUCCAUUGUUAAAGAAGGAGUGAUCUCUGGAUUGCAAUCUGGCAAACUUUCUCACAGACCAGUAAUAUGAAGUGUACAGUAAUGCACACCUCUAAUUGCACAAGCAUGUCUGGCUCUUUCUUUUCCUCUUUAGCAUCUCUCACACAAACUGUUUACAAACUCCUCUGAGAUUAAGGCUCCAGCCCAGUGGGGAGUAAGCCCCACUGAAGACAGUGUGAAUUACUUUGAAGUAAACAUGCUGUACAUGAUUCUGCUGUAAAAACAUAGUUCAACACGAGGAGGCAGACUGAAGAGGAAACAGGUGCAGGAGCUCAGGCAGGCUCGCAGGCAGAUUGACUAUGCACUUAGUCCUAGAUUGUGGCCCUGCCUUUACAUCUUUCUACAAAGAGUCCACAAAGUAUCAUUACUGUAAACUCAUGAUUUUUUAUGUAUGAAGGGAGAAGGAGUUGCUGCAAAAUGAAUCUGUAUUUAUAGAAAACAUUUCUCCUCUGUUUUUCUUUCAUUCAAUCCAUGGCAGCAAUGGAACAAAUAAAAUUGUAUAAACCA